AACCAAGGUGUUCCUUGCCACAUUACCAGAAAAAUAUUUAUAUUUUAACAUAGCAUCACUACUACUUGUUAGGACGUUUCAUCAGAUGAGUGACUUAAACCUUGUGUUAGCAGUAUCGACACCCAGGAAACCAACUGUGUAUGAAAAGAAAGAAGUGAAAAUGCAAGGGCGUCCUGUGGUCCUUCAGAAUAGUUGAUUAACUUCAGAAGAUG
rnacentral:lncRNA from 1 species